rnacentral:tRNA from 1 species
AGGACAGUAGUUAAUUAUAACAUUUGAGUUGCAUUCAAAAAGUAUUGAUUAUUUAAGUCAAUCUAUCUUA